GAUGAACGCUGGCGGCGUGCCUAAUACAUGCAAGUCGAGCGAACAGACGAGGAGCUUGCUCCUCUGACGUUAGCGGCGGACGGGUGAGUAACACGUGGAUAACCUACCUAUAAGACUGGGAUAACUUCGGGAAACCGGAGCUAAUACCGGAUAAUAUAUUGAACCGCAUGGUUCAAUAGUGAAAGACGGUUUUGCUGUCACUUAUAGAUGGAUCCGCGCCGCAUUAGCUAGUUGGUAAGGUAACGGCUUACCAAGGCAACGAUGCGUAGCCGACCUGAGAGGGGGAUCGGCCACACUGGAACUGAGACACGGUCCAGAGUACUACGGGAGGCAGCAGUAGGGAAUCGUCCGCAAUGGGCGAAAGCCUGACGGAGCAACGCCGCGUGAGUGAUGAAGGUCUUCGGAUCGUAAAACUCUGUUAUUAGGGAAGAACAAAUGUGUAAGUAACUAUGCACGUCUUGACGGUACCUAAUCAGAAAGCCACGGCUAACUACGUG
rnacentral:rRNA from 1 species